UAAAAUAUAGUGCUUGAAGAAAAUAUUUGGCCGUUAACCAAAAGAAAUUGAUAAUGAUCGAUUAUUUUAU
rnacentral:tRNA from 1 species